rnacentral:lncRNA from 1 species
UGAACUUCAACAAGAAGGAUCACAGGAGAAAUUGCUCAUAACGAUUCAAAAUAACACAGAACUAUACUUUGAAUUUCAGCACUUUAUAAUGGAUAUGAAGACUCUAAUCACCCUUUUCUUUAUUCUAUCUGCAUUUAUUUUAUCCACAGAAGGCUGUAACAAAAGAGGUAAGUCAGUAAGAUAUUAUUUAGCAUUACCUAAUAUAGAUUUAAAAGUAGCUUAGCAAAAGAAUGUAAUAAUAAGAUCCUCAAUGGGAUGGAAAAUUUGUUUUCUGUGCAGUUAUAUUGCUUGUCAUUAUGGAAUAUCAACAAUGAAAAACAAAAUAUUAAUUAUAGUAAGUGCCAAAUGUGAAAUUAGGGCUGACACUGGAAACUUUAGAGAGAUGUGUGAAAUUUUAAUAGUCUUCUUACUGUCAUACUCAUUUCUCUUUUAUCAUCUUUAAAAAGUCAUGUUCAUGACAAAUAGGACAAAGUUGUAUGAUUACAGUGUCAUUAAACCUACUCGGAAAAAUAAUAAGAGGAAUUAAAAAGCUAAGGUUGGGAUAAGAGUUUACUGUUAUAAUUUUAGGGUUGAAGGGUUUAUAGAUGUAGCAUCAUUAGUAGGAUUUAGGAUUUGUUUUAAGGAGGAUUUAGGGUUAGGAGUAUAUACCUUCAAAGUACCAUGGACUCUAGUUCCUAUAAUUUUCAACCAGAUGACGCCUGCAAAAGGUCUGCAGCAUAGUGAAUCUUUUCACUACUGAGCUUUAACUUGGUCAAGUGCUGAAGAAGUUUUUUUCUUGUUGGAGCCUUCAGUAAUUUCCAAUGCCUUUUAUCUCAAUAAAUCAUGUAAUACUAUAAAUCAUAUAAUAAAAAAUUUAUAGUUUGCUAUUGGUUGAAUAAAGAAUGCACUACUCAGAAUGACAAAAGUUGAAAUUUCAAUUAUGUUUAUAGUAUUUUUGAUACAGCAACAAAGAAAAUCGUUACAGUUUUACAAUUUGGGUUAGUCAUUGUUCCAAAACAUGUUGAAUUAUUCCAAGCACCAUAAUCACCACUUAACACUUUUUUUUUUUAUUACCCAUAUGUAAAGUAAAAGCUAUACUCUAAUAUCCAAAAUAAUGUGAUAAUAUAUGAUAUUUAAUUUAUUAUUUUGCUACAGUUUUAUGUGACAUGUCAUUUUAAAUCAUUAUAAUAUGAGUCGAUUUAUAAAAUGGUGAACAUUAUUUCAUAAAUUAGCAGAAGAGGAACAUUUUCAGCACUCCAGGGCAUAUUUAUUGCCACAGCCCAAUCUCUGAUACACUUUGAUAUUUUCAAAGAAGUAAAAUAUCACCUGAAAUUAUUGUUGCCUGUGGACCCCAGAUGAGUUCUAAUGCAAACAAAUAUAACCAGGCUCCCAAAACACCCCUUUACUCUGGAAAGGGAGUGUGUUAUAGUUCCAUUCACUCCUCCUCAUUGCAUCUACAUCACUAAAGAUAGUUUUAGUUUUUUAAGUUUUGUUUUGUUGUUUGUUUGUUUGUAUUUUAAAUUUGGAAACAUAUGAAAAAAAGGAUGUACAUAGCCUAAGGCUCAUGAGAAGGAGAAUCUUCCAUGACCAAGAGAUCAGUAACAAGAAUCUGAGGUGGGUGAAUGCUCCAUUACUGCUAUGUGUGAUGUUUUGGCACAUUAAAGAGAUACUAUAGGCAUCAAAACAACUUUGUAGGGGCACUAUAGUCAAGAAACAGCAUGAGCUGAAUGAAGCAGUUUUUGUGUACAGAUGCCCCUGCAGUUUUAAUGCUCAAUUCACUGCCAUUUAUGAGUUAAAUCACUUUUGUUUCUGUUUACAUAGCCCUAGCCACACAUCCCCUGGCUGUGACUCACAAAAUCUGCAUGAAAAAUUGUUUAAUUUUCCAUCAGAUGUUAACUUACUUUAGACGUUUUUAUGUCAUGUUAUGUAAAUUGAACUUUAAUCACACACAGCAGGCUCCAGCAGUUUCUAGAAGGCUAUUAACAUAGCAGAAGAUGAGAAAUUAUAGAUUAUAAAUAUUGUGCAAUAAAGAAACCUAGAUUUUGUAUGUUCCUUUUCAGGUAGUGUUUAUGAAGGAUGUGCAGGUCAGUUGAGAUGUGACUAGGGCUGUAUAAACAAAGUGAUUAAUCCUUAAUGGCAAAACAGACCAUUAGCAGAGAGACUGCAGGCCCAUGAUGUGUACACCAAAACUGUUUCAUUAAAGAAGCAUUAUAGGGUCAGGUAAACAAACAUGUAUUCCUGACCCCAAGGCUGACCCAAGACAUUCUGCUGCCUGAAUUCAAGGAUGAAAUGCUGCUAACCCACUCACAAAAACCACAUGCACGUCUACAUGUUAUGCAGUGAGUUUAGUGAAUGCAGUGUGUGUAUAAGAAAUGCAGUUUGUGUAGUGAAUUCAUUGUGUGCAGGUGUAUAGUGGAAGCAGUGUGUGUGUAGUGGAUGCAGAGGUAUGUAGUGGAUGCAUAGUGUAUGUAGUGGAGAGUGGCGUACACACAAUACAUGGGGCCAUGGUGCGAAACUGAUCUGUGCCCCCCCAAUCCGUGCCCUCCCUCCCCAAUCUGUGCCCUCCCCCCCGACACACACAUACAGACACAGACAUACAUAGAGGCACACACACAUACACAGACACAUACAUAGGCACACACGCAUACACACAGACACAUACACACAGACACACACAGACACCCCCGACAGACACAUACACACACACAUACAGACACAUAAAGACAGACACACACAUACUCACACCCCUGACAGACAUUGUUACGGCACCCUCAGCAUAAAAGGGUUAAACCGCCGUUUGGUAGAUCUUCCCCUUCCACAGCUACUGCAGAACACCAAACUCCCAAACCGCAUGUAAGGGAAUGCUCCAAACUCCCGAACUGCAUACAAAAUAGCACUCCAAACUCCCAAACUGGAACCUCACGAAUAGCUGCUAGCAGACGAACAGGAAAAGCACCCAAGCGGCUUACACUCCUGGCAAUCAGUCUCUAACAGCAUAUAGUAAAUCCCCCCAAAGACGAGACAGAGCUCCAUGUUGAGGGUCAAGCAGUGGUCUGGUUUAAUGAGGGCUACCUGCCCAGUAUUUAUGCAGGUCUCCCACCUGGUGGACACUCCCCUAGGGGACCAAAUGGGAGACUGUGACAAAGGACAGACAUGAACCAAUGACAGACACACAGAGGUAAAUAUCCCCACAAUGCAUCCUAACUUCCCUCCCUCUGUCCUGGAGAUAAUUGGGAAGUAGUGAUGUCCUGAACGGUUCGCGAACGGUUCGCCACGGACUCAUCAUUGAGUAAACUUUGACCCUGUACCUCACAGUCAGCAGACACAUUCCAGCCAAUCAGCAGCAGACCCUCCCUCCCAGACCCUCUCACCUCCUGGACAGCAUCCAUUUUGAAGCUGCAUUCUUAGUGAACUGUCCAGGAGGUGGGAGGGUCUGGGAGGGUCUGCUGCUGAUUGACUGGAAUGUGUCUGCUGACUGUGAGGUACAGGGUCAAAAAUUACUCAAUGAUGAGUCCGUGGCGAACCGUUCGUGGCGAACCGUUCGCGAACCGUUUGGCGAACCGUUCGGGACAUCACUAUUGGGAAGUAAUCCAAUUAUCUCCCAGGACAGAGGCAAAACUCCAUUAACCACAUGGUUACAGUAAAACACAAAAACACAAUAAAAUACACAAUAUUACAUUUAUCACACAAAAUAUAUACUUGCAACCCAUCCCCAGAUAGCUGGGAUCUGAGCGCACAAAAGUACCGAAUAGCGCUCAGAUCCUAUGCACACAGUCCAAUCGCCGUGGAGUUAAAGUGUUCCUAAAGUCUGUUCUCCAUACGAAUAGACUCCACGGGAUGGCUAUCUGGGGUAAUGCUGUUCAUACGGUUUAAACUACCGAAUGAACAGGCAUUCGCUUAACUGAUCGAAUGCAGAAGCAAGGAGGCUGACGGCUCUGCGGUGUUCGCGCAAAUAAGUGUCCGUUUACAGUUCCACAGUUUGGGCGCUGAACACCGCUGGCCGUUCGGGACUUUAAAACGGCAACCGAACAAAGGCCACCCAGCAUUCGUCAAUUAAGCUGCGGUUAACCGCAGAUUCUGGGAGGUUAAUUGCCGACACACUCCAGCUCCCAGGUGGUCCAGUCAUUCGUGCGUUAGUUCGGUAGAUUGAAUCUACCGAUCGCUGGGCAGAAAGGCACGAAUAAGCCUUUUCUGCAGGGGAAAAGAAGUCUUUUACCAUGGGGCCAUAAUCGAAAGGCAACAGGCGAGCAACCAGGCUUCUCCAAUGCAAUGUGGCGAGAUUGCUCUCGUCACAUCUCUCCCCUUUUCCAAACAGACUAACAGGGUAUCUGACCUCCUGCCGGUCAGUGCCCUUGUUAGUCCAGCAGCCCACCCACAACACACAAUCAGUAAUACAGCCCACCCACAAUAACUGCACUUAAGCUGCAGUUGUUCUAGUGACUAUAGUGUCCCUUUAAGCUAAAGUUGUUUUGGUUUAUAAUACCCCUUAAUGCUGCACACAGCAUUUUUUUUUUUCAUGUUACAUUUUAUCUUUAAGCUAUGGGAAUCUCAUUUAUGACAAAUUUUCUUUGUUGAAAUGCUAUUUGUUUAACUGUAAAAUAAUAUAUUUAUAUUACAAAUUGGUUGAAAUAUUCAAUUCUAUCUGUUUUUCAGAAAAUAGAACUAAACAGGGAAGGGUAUUCAUACAUAAAGACGCUAAAUGCAAUGCUUCAAUUCUUGAACUUGACAUUCAGAAACAAUUAAAAUCUCCCAUUACAACACUCGUUCUGCCAAUAAUUUAUUCUGUGGUAUUCAUCGUGGGACUUCCAGCAAAUGUCAUCGCCCUAUGGGUGCUUGCAUUCAAAAUAAAAAAGAUACCUUCUACUCUUCUUCUACUGAACCUGGCUGCUGCUGACUUGCUAUUUAUUGUUGCUUUACCCUUCAAGAUUAUGUAUCACUUUUUUGGAAACGACUGGAUAUUCGGUGAGAUUAUGUGCCAGACUGUCAUUUCUGCUUUCUAUGGAAAUAUGUAUUGUUCAAUUUAUUUCCUUAUGGCCAUCAGUAUUGACCGUUACAUUGCUUUAGUGCACCCUUUCUCUUGUAAAGGUCUAAGGGGAUGGAGGGCAUCUAUAAUAAUUUGUACUGCUGUAUGGUUGAUUGUAAUCCCUGGAUCAUCAAUAUUCCUACUUGUUCCACAAACUAAAUGUUUUGAAGAACCAGAUAUUACAACAUGCCAUGAUAUAUGGGCAACAUGUUCUGGUUAUGAAUGGUACAAUUAUUAUUUUCUUGGACUUUUCACAAUUGGAUUUGCCAUUCCUCUCAUUGUUGUAUUGUUCUGUUAUAUUCCAGUUGUAGUUGUACUAAUCAAAAAAAGGGAUUCUUACAGGAGUGUGGUUAGAGUGAUAUUGCUUGUACUUCUAACAUUCAUUGUCUUGUUUACCCCGAGCAACAUUCUGCUUAUAUUACAUUACUUAGAGAAAGAUUGGGAAAGACACAAUCAGCUCUACAUGUGGUAUAUGUUGGCUUUGUCACUGACAUCCUUUAACAGUUGCAUUGACCCAUUUAUAUAUUUCUAUGUGUCACAUGACUUCAGAGAAGUGGUAAAAAAGGCACUGAGUGUGGGGAAAGAAGAAAACAGUGAGUCAUCAAAAAGCACCAAAAGAUCUCAGUAAUUUUGUCAGACAAUAAGCAGAUCUUAGUGAUGGAGCAAUAACAGGCUUUAAAAAAAUUCAAUGUACUAUGCAUAAAAGAGCAUAUAAAUAUCCUAAUUAGUAAAUGUGAAUUAUUUACUGUGUAAACAUAGUUAUCUAAAUUAUUUUCUGUCUGCCUGUAUGUCUGUUGAUGUACCUAUGCAUCUAUCUAUCUGUUCAGACUGCUGUCAAUCUCUAUUAAGUGCAAUAAAGCUACUGCCAGAGAAUGCAUGAACAAUGAGUCCAGCACAUAAGAAAGAAGUUGAUCAGAGAAUGAUAGUCAUUGUUUAUUAGGAUGGAAAUAGCUGGCUGAAUCAUUUACCAAAUCCCCUCAUCUAUUAGGUGUAAAUUAAAUUAAUCUGAUGUCUUUGAAAUAUGCUAUUUACAUGUAAACAGUACAAAGAAACACUGACUUUGGCUCCACAUAGAAAAACUGACAACAUAGUGCAAAGUGAUUUGAAAUUAAAGGCAUUUAUCAAGCUCCAUAACUACUACUGUGCCCUGGCAACUCCAUUGUAAGUAGUCAAACUAUUUUAGAACGGGUUAAAUUCUGUUUUCUACUGGAUGCUACUUUGCCACCUCCACUAUCUCAGCCGGAGACAAAAAUAAUGUUCUUUUUGUGACAUCUAUUUGUUGUAUUUCAGAAUGAUUUUUUUUUUUUUUUAAGUAAGACAUGGUAAGACACCAGGAGGAACCUCUAAUAAAGUAUUAUAUUGAAGGUGGUGUUUUCUAUCUUUUACAGAUUUACACCUUUAUUUUGCAUUUUGCCCCAAAAAUCUUCUUGAAGUCAAACUACACCAUUUUGGGGGCAAAUGACACAGAAAUCAAUUAGCAUUGCUGCUGUUUGCCUUGGUAAAUAUGGCUUUCAGCACCACAUAAAUAGAUUUUGCAAAUUAGCUGGUGAGUGUUCAAUUGUAUUAUUCUUCUACAUAAAGUUUUUUGUUUUUUUUUAACUGACAAAUAACUAUAAUGGAAUAAGAUUUUACACUAUGAGAGAUUUUGUUAUCGUAUGCUACGUUGAAAUAAUUGCGUACUGGUGGUUUUUUUUUUAGGAAUCGUACACAUUUAUCUAUUUACAUCAUUUGCUAUGACAAUGAUAACAAUAGAAAAUAGAAAAGCAUCUGUCCCGAACUACUUGUCUGCUAGCACCACUAGCAGCCAGCGGGCAAAUAGUAAAAAACCUGUGGAUGCAUGAUGGUUAAUUAUGUGGCGGCUGGCCAGUACUUACAAACGAUAUUCAAAAAGUGAAAACAAAAAUAACAAUCAAAAAAAAUCCUAUUGAUGUCAAAAGAUCUAUAUCUUACUGUAAACAUCCAUAUUGCAUAUUGUAAGCAUCCAUAUUGCCCCACCUGCCUAUGACAGGUGGUGACAUGUCCCUUAAAAAUGUUAAACUAGCGACUGAGUAGCCAUUUCUGCCCAGUUGAUAGAAAAGUCACCAUCCCAUGGGGAUAGGUCAUGAGAAAUACCUAGGUGGAGAUGACAUAGUACUCUCUGCCCCUCACCUGUUUGAUUGGGUGGGUGCAAUCGGACAAAAUAAUAAUGGAGGGGAUGGGGGUGGAAUCCAUAUGUCCCCCUACUACAACCAUUGUCAACUGCUGGGGGCUAUUAUACUACUCAUGUGUCGCCCUUGCCCCUAUCUUUUUGUGGUGGCUGGGGUCCCUAAAUGUAACAGUAAACUUGGAAGACACAAUGUCCUACCUGCAACCCAUCAAUUGGCAGCAGGUGAGGGCCGCAAUUAGAAUAUAAAAUGGGGCAGAACCUCAUGUCUCCACCGAACUCUAUCCAUUGGCAGCAGGUGGAGGCCCAAAUGCUCACAGCAAAGUGGAAACAUUUCCCACGCUUCGCAUAAUGAGUAAGAGCUCUUUUAUUAGUUGGCAUAAGUGAAGUCUCACUUACCUCAAGACUUGACUGUCAGAGCACUCUUAUUGACCUCCAUAAGCUUUUUAUUUAUUUAUUUAUUUAUUUAAGCCAGCUGUCACAAAAUUAACCCUUGCGCUAAUCAGGUUUUUUUUUAACUAUUUGUCUGAUGGCUGAUAGCAUGGUCAGGGGGCAAAUAGUUCUCUGAAGCAAAUGAACAAUAAUUUGCAAAAGCACAUGUUGGCAAAUAUGUUUGAUUUAUAUCCAGUCACCAUGCGGUCGUUGAUAAAUGUCCAAUUCCAUAUCGGUUCACAUAUAAACAAUACUGAACACUUCCGAACAAAUGAUAAAGAAUCAGUUUGAAUGACCGAAUCCAGACCACCUUAGACUUUAGUAAAUCUGCAAAUAGCCUUUCUGACAAAAUAUGGUGUUUAGUGAAUAACCCUAUUAGUGCUGAUCUGAAAUAGAUCAGGAGGGUUACUGCAUACAAUCCCAUCUGUCCCCAUUUCAAUGUGUAUGCAUUCAGGCUCAGCCCUUGGUUUCCUACCAUCUCUUUCUAUAGCCUGCUUAGACUUAUCACUUGUCAGAGGUUAAAUACCAUUUGCACAUGACAUUUAUGUUUUCCUAUCUCUUAUGUUUUGUAUUAACAACCAAAAAACAAUUACGUUUACCUCUUUAAUAUCUGACAAUGUAUAAAUUGUAUAUUAAUGUAAAAUAAUAAAUAAACUUACUUUUGCUCAA